UUUGAAGAAACCUUUCCCUAGUUCGGAGUUCUUACCAGUCAAAAGUUAGGAUCUUUACUCGGUUAUGGUAUUUCGUUUUAAGUUUUGUUUCAGAAAAAGUGUCUUCAGUAAAAAUUCAAUAUCUCUCUCAAUUUUGAUCCAUUUUAAAAGAUCUUUAUCUCGUUUUAAAGCUUAGGAAAAUAGCUACAUUUUUUAUGAAGAAAGUAUUGUCUAGAUCAGGGUGUAACUAUUUUUAAAACAUUUAUUUUUGGACUGUAUUCAGAAAUCGGCAUGAUCCAGGAUUUUAAAGAAACUGUUUUGAGAAAACAUGCAUAACUCCUAGAUUAUAGCUCCGAUUUUGAUGAUCUUUAUACCGUUAGAAAGGUCUUUCAAUUAACUAAAAACCUUGUGAACAGUAGGACUUCUAAUUCAAACGUUUUAUAUGUCAAAUUCUAGGUUAAACUUGCUGUACAGUAAGAGUAAUAAAUAUAUUGAGUUUAUCGGUGGACUAAGGGUUUCACUAAUUGUUAUAGGGCCUAGAAGGUAUCGUAAGAGUUAAUUACAGCGGAGUUGAGAUAAGUAAGCCUGUAAGCUUUCGGUGACAAGUUGAGUCUGGGCAGCAUGGGGUGUAUCUCGUGUGAUCAUGUAACUGCGUGUGGUCUUGGCCAUCUUCCGCUGAAAGUUUUUUUUUAAAUUUAUUAAACUUAUCGAGGAUGUUGUCGUUUAAAUUUUCUAUUACUUUUCCCUAAGUGGUAAUACUUUAUUUUCAACUGGGUACCCAUGUUUUGAAAAGUGUUUUUUUUUUUUAAAAAAAUAAAGGCAACAUUAGUAU